rnacentral:rRNA from 1 species
ACGGAGGAUCCAAGCGUUAUCCGGAAUCAUUGGGUUUAAAGGGUCCGUAGGCGGUUUAAUAAGUCAGUGGUGAAAGCCCAUCGCUCAACGGUGGAACGGCCAUUGAUACUGUUAAACUUGAAUUAUUAGGAAGUAACUAGAAUAUGUAGUGUAGCGGUGAAAUGCUUAGAUAUUACAUGGAAUACCAAUUGCGAAGGCAGGUUACUACUAAUGGAUUGACGCUGAUGGACGAAAGCGUGGGUAGCGAACAGGAUUAGAUACCCUGGUAGUCCACGCCGUAAACGAUGGAUACUAGCUGUUGGGAGCAAUCUCAGUGGCUAAGCGAAAGUGAUAAGUAUCCCACCUGGGGAGUACGUUCGCAAGAAUG